GUGACUCUGGGUUUGUAUGCGAUCAUCAGUCAGCUCAGAACUGAAGCGGUCAAGGGGAAUCUAACUGUUUAAUAAAAACAAAGCUUUGUGAUGUCCCGAAAGGGUUUUGACACAAUGUGAUUUCUGCCCAGUGCUUUGAACGUUAACGUGAAGAAAUUCAACUAAGCGCAGGUAAACGGCAGGUGUAACUAUAACACUUUUAAGGUAGCCAAAUGCCUCGUCAUCUAAUUAGUGACGUGCAUGAAUGGAUCAAUGAGAUUCCUACUGUCCCAAAUGACCAUCUAACGAACCCACAGCCAAGGGAACGGGCUUGGCAAAAUCAGCGGGGAAAGAAGACCCUGUUGAGCUUUGAAGAAGAGUGGCAUUGUGACGUGGCAAUUGGGGAUAUAGUGUAGGUGGGAGGUUCGCCAACAAUGUAACACCACUACUCAUUUCGUCAUUUUUACUAAUUCCGUAAAGCGGAAUCCUUCGGGACUUCUUGCACUAAGGUUCGUAAGAACUGAUCUGGGCGGAAGACAGUGUCAUCCGA
rnacentral:rRNA from 1 species